ACUCCUACGGGAGGCAGCAGUGGGGAAUAUUGCACAAUGGGGGAAACCCUGAUGCAGCCAUGCCGCGUGUGUGAAGAAGGCCUUGGGUUGUAAAGCACUUUCAGUAGGGAGGAAGGUAGUGUAGUUAACACCUGCACUAUUUGUACGUUACCUACAGAAGAAGCACCGGCUAACUCCGUGCCAGCAGCCGCGGUAAUACGGAGGGUGCGAGCGUUAAUCGGAAUUACGUGGGCGUAAAGCGCAUGCAGGCGGCCUGUUAAGUCAGAUGUGAAAGCCCGGGGUCUUAACCUCGGAAUUGCAUUUGAAACUGGCAGGCUAGAGUCUUGUAGAGGGGUUAGAAUUUCAGGUGUAGCGGUGAAAUGCGUAGAGAUCUGAAGGAAUACCGAGUGGCGAA
rnacentral:rRNA from 1 species